rnacentral:lncRNA from 1 species
UUAGAUUCUGAUAUGCAUGCAUUGAAGGAGCUUCCAGUUGGAGUGCUUGAUGAAGACACGGCUACAUUUGAAGGGACUAAUACAUCUGGAAAUGUACAAAGUGAAGUACAUGCUGAAAACGAGGUAUUCAUUGAAGAACUCCCAGUCGGAGUGCUCGAUGAAGAGACGGCUAUAUCUAAAGAGACAAAUACCUCUGAGACUGAAGUACAAGCCGGAAAUGAGGUAUUCAUUGAAGAACUUCCAGUCGGAGUGCUCGAUGAAGACACAGCUACAUCUGAAGAGACUAAUACCUCUGAAAAUGAAGUACAAGCUGGAAAUGAGGUAUUCAUUAAAGAACUCCCGGUAGGACUGCUUGUCGAGGAUCCGGAGAAAUUUGAAGUAGAAAUAUCUAAACAUGAUGCAAAAGAUACUCAAUUAGAGCAACCACGGGUCGAAGAA